rnacentral:rRNA from 1 species
AAUCAACGCUGGCGGCGUGCCUAACACAUGCAAGUCGAACGGGAAAACGGGGGCAACUCCGUGAGUAUAGUGGCGUACGGGUGAGUAACACGUGACUACCUACCUUUGAGUGGGGGAUAACCCCGGGAAACCGGGGCUAAUACCGCAUAACAUCGCAAGAUCAAAGAAGCAAUUCGCUUAAAGAGGGGGUCGCGGCUGAUUAGCUAGUUGGUAGGGUAAUGGCCUACCAAGGCGAUGAUCGGUAGCCGGCCUGAGAGGGCGCACGGCCACACUGGAACUGAAACACGGUCCAGACUCCUACGGGAGGCAGCAGUGGGGAAUUUUGCGCAAUGGGGGAAACCCUGACGCAGCAACGCCGCGUGGAGAUGAAGAUUUUCGGAUCGUAAACUCCUGUCGAAUGGGAACGAAAAAGUUGCGGGUUAACAGCCCGCGAUUCUGACGGUACCGUUAAAGG